CUAUUAAAUACACCUUAAAAACUUGGGCAAGGAGAUUUUAUGCUUUUGCAUCUUUGACAUGGUGCUUCAAUUGUUAGUUGAAAAAGUGGCAACUAAGAAUUUAAACCAGAGUAAUCUCUCACAUGAGAAUGCUACCUUUAAGCUUCACUAUCCCUCUUUUAAAGGUUAAUAUGCAUCUACUUGCAAUGAUUUAAGCAAGAAUUUAAUACUUAAAAUAUGUAGGAUCUUAUGAUCUUGAUCUGAUCUGGAAGACUUCAGAAGGAUCCUACUUAGCAUCUCGAUCCUGAUAACCUUUUUGUGUGUGUGACAAAGGUUGCCUAGUUUUAAUAUUUAUUGUGAAUUUAUUUGAUCUUAGUUAUAUAUUUGACAGGAGAAAUAUGGAUCCAGUUGUAAAAUUUCUAAUGGGCGACUCCAGAGUGAAACUGCUUUUCUGUUGGGUAAGCAGCUUUCACAUGGAGCUUUUCUUCUCUAUGUCAGUAUCCGUCUUGUCCCUGUGCUCAUAUUGCAUGGAUGGAGACUGACUGGAGAACAUGAAGAUAGAGUAAGGGCAAUUUUACAGUUCCUCAUUAGUUUGGUGUAAGAUUGAUCUUUGAAGCAUAAUGGGCCUAAGAGCCUUGAGUGUAGGACUAGCCUCUUUAAUUUCCGCAAAAGAGUGGAGAAUCGGUCUUUGUUUGCUUCUAUUAUGGAAUCCUGUGGCCUCCUUUGCUUCAGAUGGAAUGAAUAGCUAGUAUUUGUUCUCCAACAAGUUAUAUUCACUUUGAUGCUUCAAGUUGUCCAUUUUAUCCAGUGAGGGUACUCAGCUAAUUAAUAUACUAUAUCAAGUAGUAUGUUAUAUGAAUAAAUUUUCCAUUUUAAUUUUGUGAUUGCAUCGCUUCUACCUGAAUAUAUAUGUAUAUCCUUGGAAGCGAGCCAUAUUUUACCCUGCUUGUUUAAACUUUAUGAUACUUGAAGUCUUUCACAUUAGCAAGAAUCCUUAACAUCCUUGGUUCAGUUGAAAAUUAACUUUGUACCCAUAAUAUGCCCCCCUUUCCAUUUUUGUAUUUUUCCUUAUAUCCUUGGUUUAAUUACACUAAUAUUUUGCUUACAAUGCCCAAUUGGUAAAAGCAUAGACUUAAACCACUGUGAGUAACCGUUUCUUUGGUAGCUAUUCAUUUUGAUAGCUUACCUGGACCAAAGUGGUGCUGUUUGUUCGUGCUUUCAUCUCUCUCAAUUCCUUGCCAAAUCCGCAAUUGUUGACCAAGAUUCAUCCAAAUGGAGCUUUGCUUCAACUUAGGUGAGUGAUUAUGAGUUGUAAUUGUUCCGAAUCCAUUGUUGUUUAUACCGUCUAUUGUUUUUUCUGAUUCUGUUCACCCCCCUUUCUAGCGUUUUUCUUGCUCUUUGGUUAUGCUCUUACAAGAGUGAGUGCCUUUUGCCUCUUCAAGAUUCCUGUGAAGAGUUUUUGGUUUUUGAUUAGUAUUUGAUUACCCUUCAAUAUUGCGUUUCUUACCUUUACAAGUUGUGGUUCUUCUUCUUACAUGCUCAUCGGAAGAGAUGGAUUAUAUUCUGCAUCGACAGCCAAAAUAAAUGGUCAAACACCCAAUUAAAAAAACAAAUGCCAAAAGUGGCAAGGGAGGAAGUGUCUUCUCAGUCGGAUAUGAAUGAAGAUUCGACUAACUCCUAUGAGCAUACUAAUCACAUGAGAAGUGCCACAUGGGGUUGUUAUACAUGUUUCAUGUACAUGUUUGCUUUUACGACUUAUUGAACCUGCUAACCUGUGGCUUCUAACCUGUGAUGGAUGUACUAUCUGCUGAUCAUAUGAUGUCGUUGUGUCAUUGGGUGCAUUGUGCUUGUUUUGGUAGGAAGGAGAGAUGUGUUGUGCAAUUUGGAAAAUUUUGUUACAAGGAUGAAUGCUUGGUGGAUGUACUAUAUUUUGAGUCUCUAUUUAGACUUUAAGCUAAUUCUAGUUUUGUUAUUAAAUGCAUGAAAUCAAAUGUGCAGAGAAAGGAGGUGGAUAAACUUACCUCCUUGCCAAUUGCAUAUUUUGUUGGCUGACAUGAAUAAAUGCGCUUUAGACCAUCCUAAUAGGAAUUAUAUCUGCGUUUCUGUUAUUAAAUGUCGGUUGAUUUCUAUGAGAAUUUAAUGUUGUUCUGAUAAGGCUUCCCAAGGAACAAUUGCUGUCCUCGCUUGGGGCUGUUCCAGACAAAUUUAUCAACAAAAUAAGGCUCAUGUUAAGAAGCUCAUUGGUUUGCUGUUUUCUUACAGAGUAGCAUGGCCUUUCUAUUAAUGCAAGUAUAGCUGAUCUGGAGACGGUCCAAAGGCUGAUUUUGUAUUUGGGAGUAUCCAUCCUGAUUCAGAGGUUGCUGAUAAUAUCAUUUGGAGAACUUCUUCUGCUAUCGAUGUGGAUUCUAUCAAAUCGUUCAGGGAUACGAAGCUGCUGCGUGUUCUUUUUAGUUGUAGUCCAAGUUGAAUUGUAACUCUUUUUUUAGGUCAAGCAUGAUCAGAGAACCAGCUGGAUAUUUUUGUGGGAAGAAGAGAAUUCGUAGGGUGAUCCCACCAUAUCUAUUGUAAUCAUCUAAGUUGGUUGUACCUCUUCUCUCUUUUCUUUUUGAACCUUAUACCAACUUUGUUGCUAAUGUGCUGUUGGUUUUCUGUUGUAAUCAUCUAGUGCCAAAUGAAGAGAGAUUUGUGGACCUCAUUUAAAGCAAAAAUACUUUUCAAUAUCUUUCUUUAAGUACAUUUGGUUCGUCCUCAUUGGAAAACCAAGAUAAUACUAUUGGCUAUAGAACACAAGUAGAUGGUCCGGGGGAAAUAUAUGAACUGGCACUCAUCACAUUUAACUUUACUUUGUGUAAGGAAGAAUAGAAAAUACUGUUUGUGCUACUGUGAGAAAGAGCAACACAAUGGCUGCGGGAACGGACAAGAAAGCCCAAGGACUAUGGAAAUAUUCCCUCUUCAGUUUCGCGAUCCAGACGUUCCACUUAUUCUUGUAAUGUGCAUUCACAUUUGGGAAGAUCUCGGAGUAAUAGGAAUCGGAUACAGCGACAUGGUCACCGAUCUUGUUGAACAUCUGUGCAAUAACCUUGUCAUCGCCUAGGUAGUUCUUAACAAUCCCUGCGUGGCGAAGCACCUCGACGUCCUUUGAAGAGCUUAUGAGGCAAUCCAUGAAGGUCACGUAAUCCGUGAAGUAGUUGAUGUCUCUGCUUUGACGAUGCUGCUCAUAUGCGAUCAGGUUUCGAAAAUUUGAUUCGGUGUCAUCCUCUACAUACAAGACCAGUAACUCGAGUGUCCCGUUCUUGAAUUUGAUGUCGCUCAGUUCGCGCCCUUGCGCAGCCCUAAACCUGACUCCUGACUCCCUUAGCUCAAUCGCCGAGGGCAUGACUGACCUGACUACUGACUUCCUUAGCUCAAUCGCCGAGGGCAUGACUGGUAUGCAGUUCAGCUGGGGCGUUUCAGGCAAGCCAGAAGUGUACCACGCAUGAUAUAGAUGCAGAAGAUGUUCCCAGCGCCAAUCGUCAAAUUUCGGCUGGGGCUUUUUCGUUCACCUGGAAGUACAUGAUUGCGACUUUGCUGAACUCAUGAUGCUCGUCCUCAGUCAGGUCAUAUGGCUUGCUCAAGACGAAAAGUGGGAGUUGGUUCUCUAGCAGCUGUAAAUCGCGCCUGAUGCUAUUUAUAAUCCCACGUCCACGCAUAACCGGGUCGUCUCUGUCUGUCGGUAUCAUAUUAUUGUACUUACGGAAGAACUCAAUGAUGAAACAGCCAUCAAUGAGCAUCAUCGCAAGAAACUUUUCUUGGGAGAGGUUGAUGGUUUCCGCAUAGCAAUUACGUGCCCGCUCUUCCAGUUCCCUGAGAGUCGGCAUAUAGCUAUCAACGCUCUCCUUUCUCCUCUCAAGCAAUUGCUGCAGGUAUCGCAGUUUUUGCUCCUCCAUGAAUUUGAACUUGCCAUUUUCACAGUGAUAAGGGCCGAUGGCUAGGAUCUCUGGGUCAUAGGCUUUCUCGUUGACUUUGCGCAGUUGAUGACGAACCCUAAAUAUACUACGCUCCGACAAAGUGGGAGGCAUAGUUUGAAGCAUAUUCUCGAUGUGGAUUGAGGCAGGAUCUCGCACCAAGAAACGGUCAUAGAUGCCAGCAUGCUGUAUUGGUUACGACAUAAUUAAUGUGAUAAUAAGCACUUAGUAAAGCAAGAUGAUUGUUUUACAGGUGCUUCCCUUUGAUUUAGGGCAACUUACAAAAAAUGCGCUCUAAUGAUUUAUUUUAACUUUCACUUUUGGUCAUCAUACUAUUUUUCGUGACUCAUAUAAUUCUUAAAAUUAAAUUUCAAAAACUAGUAGAAAAAAAAACUAAACUUUGAAUAAAUUUCAGGACAAAUUCGUAUUUUUGUGCGAAUAUCGAUGGACAAUGCAAAUUAAGCACCGUGGUUGAACACGUGGUGUCGACAUUCAAUACAAACAGAUGGAUAGCUGAGGAAAAAUUACGAACCCUGUAAUAUUGCUCCGAGAAUAAAUUAACAGCUGUAUGAGCUUUUUACUUUUGAGCUUCGGAGAACCCCCUUUUGCUCUAUGGACAAGUUUUGACUUUUGGGAAGGCAAAGCUUGGCAUGGGAUACUUUUUUUUUUUGGUCAGUGCUCCUUAUAAUAUUGCUCCGAGAAUAAAUUAACAGCUGUAUGGCCUUUUUACUUUUGAGCUUUGGAGAACUCCCUUUUGCUCUAUGGACAAGUUUUGACUUUUGGAAAGGCAAAAGAACACAUGUGCCAAACUUUGCAUGGGAUACUUUUUUUUUUUGGGGUCAGUGCUCCUUAUAAUAUUGCUCCAAGAACAAAUUAACAGCUGUAUGGGCUUUUUACUUUUGAGCUUCGAAGAACCCCUGUUUACUCUAUGGAUGAAUUUUGACUUUUGAGAAGGCAGAAGAACAACACAAGUGCCAAACUUGGCAUGUGAUACUUAAGUGUCACUUUUUUUUGAAAAUUAGGAUAUAUGAUUUCUAAUUCUAGUGACCUUGGCCAAAAAUCCUACGUGACAAUUUUUUUAAUAAUAUAACUCAUCUACGUGACUCGUCGGAGAGUUGAGUCAAUAAAGAAAAACCAAAACUAUGUCGUUUUGCCUUUUAUUUUAUUUUAAUAUAAAUGUUCAUUAAAUAAAAUUAUUUUAGAAAAACAUAUGAAGAUUGCAAAACAACGAGGGCUCAGCCCUCGCCGCCCUUGCCAAGGAGGGUCGGCAAUGAUGGGGGAAGGGUUGAUCAAGGUCAUUGGCCAAGGCUUGACGACCCCGGCCGACCAGUGGUGAGGCCCUACAAUCCCUCGCCCAGCUCUAGGGCGAGGGUCGCGACCCUUCCCUAGAUCCGACAAGACCCCCCCAGCUAGUGCUGGCUCUUGGCCUAUUAAGCGAGGGUCGGUGACCCUCGUCAGAUCUAGGGGAGGGUUGCAACCCUCCUCCCGGAUCUGGGCUAGGGCCCCACGACCUUGAUUGACUCUACCCCCACCAUCGCUGGCCCUUCUGGGUGAUAGUGGCGAGGCGGCGGCGAGGGCUUGCAUAGCCCUCGCCGUUCUGCAAUCCUCCUUUUAUUUUUUAUUUUUAAAAAAUUUUCAGUUUUAAAUUUAAGUUAAGUAAUAUUUAUAUUAAAAUUCAAAUUCGAGGGAAAAUGACGUCGUUUUCAACUUACUAGCCACGUUAGCAUGCAAAAUAACAUCGUUUUUUGCUUAUUUAGCCACGUCAUCAUUUUUCACUUGUCGUAUAAAAAAAAAUGCUACGUUAGCAUUUUGACUGGAUUUGCUCACCGUUAACACUUGACUAAUCCAUUUUAUUUCGAUUUUGACACUUAAAUAUAUAUUUCUUAACUUUUGAUACUUAAGUGUCUUCCCAGACUAAAUUUUGGCAUUCUAAGGAUCAAGUUCUCCUUUUAAGAAUUUGAGUCCCAAAAUUUUCUCUCUCCAACCACCAAGGAAGGACAACCUUUUAGACACUAAAAUGUGAAUUUUAAAACUAAUUGGGGUGUUCUUAUUGUGAGCUGCUUACCAUCGAUGUUGAAGGCGUAAGAACCACGCUGAAUAGUUUUAAACUACAUAAGAAGAAUAAUUGGAAUGAAAUUCAACCAAGAUAAAAUACAGAAAUGUUAUUAAACGCGAUGGGAACUGAGGAUUUGAGGUUAGAGAAGGUAAGACAAGCUUCUAGCUAACUAACAUAUAAAUGAUUGCUUUUUAAAAAAAUUAAUUUCUACCUAAGAAUAUAAGGAAUUUUUUUACCUAGGGAGGCAAGGUUGCCAGUGGCCUGGUACUACUGAUUAAAUGGUAGACAUAAGUUUAGAAAUUAUUUGUGUGAUUAACCCUCUCUAGAAGGAUGAAAGCAAUCGGUAACUGAACCAAGAGAAGACAAAAUUGAUGCUUGAGUGACUGUCUAGCUGAGACACGUUAGUUAACGUAAUUUCGGCGCCCUGAAUUAGAUCGAACGUGUAUGAUUUAAUUUUAAGUGCUUGCCAGAAUCAUGUUAAAUUAAUGGACCAUAACUCAGAAUUGAAAGAAAUGGUCUCAUCCUUCAACAUAAUAUUUUCUUUUUUUCUCAGUGUGAAUAAUCACAACAGUCAAGGAUCAGAAAAGGGAAGGGAAAUUCGCAGGACUUACUUGAUUAAUUUGGUGGUUGCUCAUUCUUCUCGCCAAGCUAGACCAACUACUAUCACGCAGUAUCCAGUUCUUCUCUUUUUUCUGCGAUAAAACAUGCGAUCGUACAUGGCGAGAGCGAGAGAGAAGAGGGCGACGAUGCUAACAGAUGUUGAGGCCAACGAUGGAGGAAGAAUCAGCAGGUUGGAUGCGUGAUAACAUGCGAUCGUACAUGGCGAGAGGGAGAGAAUAAGAAACCUUGCGUUGUCGCGUAGAGAUGCAUUUCGGCUUGGGCUUUUCGAGCCCGGAUUUCCGAAGCCCGAGAGGCUCAUCCUCGUCAGCCAUUUAAUUAAACAGAUGCUAAUUAAAUAAUCCUUUGUUCAAAUAUUAUUGUAAUUUACAAUUCCCUAGCAUGAAAUUACUACUAUCACCUUGAGGUAAAAUGAGACUAACGCAUACACCAACCAUUUAUAAAAAAUUCAAACACAUUUUUCUUUGGUCCAUCGACCUUGGUCGUCAGUACGUCCGACGGUAGAGGGUACUACAAUGAAGAACUAUGAAGUCAUCCACAAGUUGCAUUAUACUAUGUGAAAACGGACCAUUUCACAAAAUUUCACAGAAUUUGUGGAAAGAGUCCUACAUUCUACCUUCUAGCUAGAAAAUAAUAGUCUUCACGAUGGAGGCAACUUGAACAAUUGUGAUAAAUGCAUAUAUAAAGAUGCUUGCCAAAUUCUCUAGAUUGGUGCGGUUAAAAAUUGUGUUAAGAGAUUAUCAAGUUGCAUAUUUAGAUUUCAUGGACUAUAUGUAAACUAUUCUUUGUAUUCUAAUAAACUGUGAGAAAUAUAUGAUCACAUUUAUUUUUGCUUUGUGUAAGAAAGAAUAGUAAAUACUAUUUGCCCUAUUAUGAGAAGGAACAUUUAUUUUUGCCUGUUGUGCAGGUGCGUACAUAUGAAAGAUUAUAAUUGUUGUCUUAAAUUUCACCAUCAUACGAGCUUGCUUUUGGUAAAUAUAAGCAAAUGGAGAAACUCUUGGCAUUUUACGCACUUAAUAUGCUUCAUUUUCUGACAUUUUUAGCAUCAUUAUUGGUAGGGAUCUUGGUUAGACUGUACCUAGCAUUCGUGUUUACUACUUCAUUUAAGGACUAGGUCCCGUGACCUGUCCUAGCUGACAUGAUUUUGCUUCCUAUACAUUAGUUUGGAUAUACUUUAAUUUAGAAUACUAUGAAAAAGCCCAAACUGACACAGUCAUAUUACAUUUACCUCAAAUUAAUAUUUUGACCACAAAAAUCAAAUUAGUAUACCAAUGACAAAUUUAUCAUUAUUUAGUUUAUGUUAAAUUUUACCGUCAAAUUUUCAAGUCAGAUGAUACGUGACAGUUGACGGAUAUAAUUGUUUGAGUUUUUAUACCUAGUUUGUCGUAGUUUUGUAGUUUUUUGUGGUAUUAAUCCAAUUUAACGGAAAUUAAUUAAGGGUGUGUAUACCAAUUUGAGAUUUUUUGUGAUAAAAAAAUUAGUUUGAGGUAAACUCGUCACAUGUAUAUUAAUUUGGAGUUUUUUAAAGUCGAAAAUUAAUUUUCGCUAAAUUUAUCACAAACGUACUAAUUUGAUGGUUUUUGUGAUAUUAACUCUUAAUUUUAUGGCACUUUACUUCACCAAAUUUUUUACCAUUUUAUAAUAUUUUUACAGUUUUUAGGAAUUGUACCUUCACCCAACACCAAUUAAACAUGAAAGCUUGAUAAAGAGUGAAGUAUUGUCGUUAGCCGUAGGGAUGAGCAAAAAGAAAUCGUCCAAAUCAGAACCGCCCGGACCGAUCUUCGGUUCCUAAAUUCUUGAAUAACUGAAUACCGGUCAGGUUUCUUAUUUCAGACGCGGAACCACCCAUUUAAUUUUUUUUUUAUUAUUAUAAAGGAAACCCGAAAGCAGGCUCCAAACGUCUAGCUCACGAUCCCUCUCUCUCCCUCUCUCUCUCUCAACUCGCUCAACUCACAAGCCCUCUCUCUCUCGCUCAACUCACGUCCUCGAGGUUCGCAGCUUAGUCACGCUCACUCUCGGCCUCGACGGUUUUUGAGGGCACCAAUUUGCCCCUCGCCUCUUCCGGCCAAUUUGCCCUGAUUCUCCCCUUUGUUUCCUCUGGUUUGGUUUUGUCAUGGUGCGUCUCGAUGUGUUUUACAUGGUUGCUAUCCGUUAAUAGUUUUCUUGUGUCCAUUUUCGAGUCUUGGAUACGCGAGGAAGGAGAGAUGGUCGAUGGGUAAUUGGCUUUUCAGUAUUGGAUUCGCAAUCCACCUGAGCUCGAGACUUGAAGUGAUUUUUACACGAUUUUACAUGUGGACAUGUUCUGCUCAGCUGGAGAAUGAUCAGCUGGUGUUUUUUCUGCCUUUCUAUAUUCUAAUGUUGUUUGGUCAAGGGAGGUUAAGUGAAAAAUCUUUUAUCAAAAGCGGCGGCAGUCAUUUUGGUGAAGUGCUGUUUCAGGGUACUGGUAGUUGUGAUCUUUUAUGAAGCUUUCUUUGGAUUGUUGCUGCAAGUGUGUGUGUUUAUUUGAUGAUAAGGGAAGUUAUGUGUCCGUGGAUUCUGAAUUGUUGUAGGACAGGCAGGUUACUAACCUCAUGGGAUUGAAAUGAUUUGCUGCAUAUUGUAGCAUAACCAAGCUGCAAUGAAACCAAAAAAGAAUGAAACUGAAAAGAAAAGAAGAUGUGGCUGGUUCCCGGUGGAACCUGAAACUGGCAGGUUUGGUUUCAGAGUUGGUUUUAGGGUCCACAGGGUCAGUUCCCGGUUUCAAAAAUUGGGAACAGGUCCUGAGAGUGUAGGUCCUAGGUUCCAGACUUGGAACCGAUCAUCCUAGCCAUUUGCUGUUAAAAUUGAGAAUGAACCCGGGUUCGAUCAGGAGGUAAACUCAGUGAGUGGAAGCCAGGUUUAGAUUUUGAGUGUUAUUUAUUGCUCUGAAAUAUAAUACGAGUAAAAUGCAUGUGCAACUUGUUCUGCCUGCGGUGUUUAUUACAUGAGUUCGCCUUUGCUUUCUCAACUUGCUCUAUUAACAUAGUUAAGCAUUUCAUAUUGGGCCAUUGAUUUUAAUUUUCUGAUUUGAUGUUUCUACUUCACAGGAUGGUGCAGCAAAAGAGAGAGAAGAAAAAAGAGAAGAAAAUGCGGAAGAGGAGGAAGGGAAAACAGGCGGAGCUGAGCAAAAUGUCAACAAAAUCUCAAAUAAUGUUUUAGAAGUGGCUAUAUUAUACGGAAAUAUUAUGAAGGAUUUUUUCGGUGUUGAUAUAGAUAUCCAAUUUAACAUCACCUUCAGCCACCAACAACUCUGACAAAGGAUUUACAUCAUUGUUUGCCUAUUUACUUUGACACCAUUUAUGUUUGAGUGCUUGUAACACAUUCUUCUCAAUGUCACUUUGCUUAACGUAAGUUGAGGAAAAUUACUCUUUAAUAUUUCCAUCCAAUUUGGCCAUGUGAAAUAUUUUGGGAUUUUGUUGUGCAUAUCGCUCUUCCUAGAGACAUUUUUCUCAACUUUGGCCUCUUUUUUCUUCCUCCUCCUCCUUUUCUUCUCCUUUGCCUUUCUCUACAAGGUCAGGCAGUUUGUCUCUUAGCUUUUGCAUGGUGCCUAUGCAAAUUCCGAAUAUAUCAUCGAAGAGGGCUAGUGUUGAACCUUCCCGAAAGAAGCUAUCUGAAUGGACUCUUGGCAGAGAUAAUUCCAUAUAAUGGCCAGCCAUGUAAAGCAGACUUAAUUGUGCUGAGGAAAGCAGGUACAAAGUUGAGAAUUGGUAAAAGGUAGUUGAUGUUUCUCAUAUAAUCUAAGAACAUUGUUCUAACUCGUCAUCUAUUUUCUUACAGUAUUCGAAAGACCUUUUGUUGAUAUUUUUUACUGUUUUGCUUUGAGAAAGUAACUGUCGGGGUUUGGGGCCAAGUACGUUGUUCAAUUUGACCUGCAGUCUCCUCUUUCUUGCACUUUCUUUCACACCAUCACAAGACUCUUUUCUGUGUGCGCGUGCAUGCGUGUGUGCAUGGUUGUUAGGAUCGCGAUCCAGAUUGUGGGAUCACGAUCAUUCGAUUCUACGACUCAAAAACUUUGAACAAUUUGGAUUCUAAGAAAAAUGGUAGUCUGCAGGGGUCGUGAUCUGUAUCUUAGGAUGGCGAUCCCAACUACGAUUCCAGUGUUCAAGCUUUAGAAGGCAAUUCUGCUUUUUUAGCUAGAGCAAAUAUGAAAUUGGGUCUCCGUCCCCUAAUGCAUGUGGGACUUUCUUCUUAAUCAUGUUCAGGCUCCAUUUGGAAAAUAUAAAGCUUGGAGAAUUAAGAAAAAGGGAUGGAGAUGAAUGAACAGUAGAAAGCGAAGAAGUGCAGAGACACCAUCUCUUCUUCUUCAGUCUUGAAUAAAUGAUGAGAUGGGCAUCAACCACCGUUGGCUUUCUGGACUGUGCCAUCCUUUGGAGAUGAGAGAGAUAGCUUCUGUCCUUCUGCAACCAGAUGAGAGAGACCUCUAACAUCCUCGAGAAAUUGGCGCACGAUUUGACUUGGCCUAAUAGCAUAAUUUCUUUGGAUGUAUACUGAUUAGAACUUACCUUAAACUUUAAACAGUUGAAACCUAUAAUAGCCAGUGAAAGUGAGGUUUGUUAGAGGGGGGGUGCAGGAGGUAAAUUGUAGAGUGUGUCCCAGAUUGAGGUAAAUAAUAUUUUAUCCAUUGAAAUAAAGAAAGAGACGAUAUGUAUUCCAAGAGAGAGAAGGACAAAAGAAAGGAUUAGAAAUUCGGAAAAGGCAGAAAAGUAAUUUCUUGGCAACCUUCUUCUUGCUUAUUAUGGUGAUUAUUUUAUUGUGAUCCUUUUAAUACACCUUAAGAACUGGGGCAAGGAGAUUUUAUGCUUCUACAUCUUUGACAUGGUGCUUUAAUUGUUAGCUGAAAAACUGGCAACUAAGAAUUUAAGCCAGAGCAAUCUCUCACAUGAGAACGCUACAUUUAAGCUUCACUAUCCCUUUGUUUAAGGUUAAUAUGUAUCUAAUUGGAAUGAUUUAAGCAAUAAUUUAAUACUUCAAAUAUUUAGGACCUUAUGAUAUUGAUCCGAUCUCAAAGACUUUGAAAGGAUCCUACUUAGCAUCUCAAUCCUGAUAACCUUUGUGUGUGUGACAAAGGUUGCCCAGCUUUAAUAUUUAUUGUGAAUUUAUUUGGUCUUACUUAUUAAUUUGACAGGAGAAAUAUGGAUCCGGUUGUAAUUUCUAAUGGGCGACUCCAAAGUGAAACUACUUUUCUAUUGGGUAAGCAACUUUUGAAUGGAG
rnacentral:lncRNA from 1 species